rnacentral:rRNA from 1 species
AGCGAACGCUGGCGGCAGGCCUAACACAUGCAAGUCGAACGAACCUUUCGGGGUUAGUGGCGGACGGGUGAGUAACACGUGGGAACGUGCUUUAGGUUCGGAAUAACUCAGGGAAACUUGUGCUAAUACCGAAUGUGCCCUUCGGGGGAAAGAUUUAUCGCCUUUAGAGCGGCCCGCGUCUGAUUAGCUAGUUGGUUGAGGUAAUGGCUCACCAAGGCGACGAUCAGUAGCUGGUCUGAGAGGAUGAUCAGCCACAUUGGGACUGAGACACGGCCCAAACUCCUACGGGAGGCAGCAGUGGGGAAUCUUGCGCAAUGGGCGAAAGCCUGACGCAGCCAUGCCGCGUGAAUGAUGAAGGUCUUAGGAUUGUAAAAUUCUUUCACCGGGGACGAUAAUGACGGUACCCGGAGAAGAAGCCCCGGCUAACUUCGUG